rnacentral:tRNA from 1 species
GGAGGAGUGGCAGAGUGGUCGAUUGCGGCGGUCUUGAAAACCGUUGAACGUGAGAGCGUUCCGGGGGUUCGAAUCCCCCCUCCUCCG